rnacentral:rRNA from 1 species
CCGGCGCACGGGUGAGUAACACGUAUGCAACCUGCCUGCCACAGCCGGAUAAUCGGGAGAAAUUCCGGCUAAUACGGCAUAAUGCAUCGACGGGACAUCCUGUUGGUGCCAAAGGUUAAUUCCGGUGGCGGAUGGGCAUGCGUCGCAUUAGUUAGUUGGCGGUGUAACGGACCACCAAGACGACGAUGCGUAGGGGUUCUGAGAGGAAGGUCCCCCACACUGGUACUGAGACACGGACCAGACUCCUACGGGAGGCAGCAG